UAGGGUAACUGAAAAUAUGCUCGGCUAUCCUUUAUUUCUGUAACGCAUAUUAUAUCGGAGAUUAAGAUUAUGGCAUUGUCUGCAGACGCUAAAGCAGCAUUGGUUAAAGAAUUUCAAGUAGCUGAA
rfam:Marinomonas mediterranea MMB-1, complete genome.